CCCCGCACUUGCACCAGAUCCCUAUUCUGUCAACCGAGGUUCAUAAUUGAGAAAUCUGUCCAUUUGACUAUUAAACCUUAUUGGUCACCUUUUUGGAUCAAGGAAUGAUCCAUCAGAGUCUGAAUUUUACAUGCAGCUUUAUUUAGAUCUCAUGUCAACUGUCCAAAUUAAAGUCAAAUAUUAGGUCAAUACAACUGUGCCAAGGAGCUUACCACAAAAUCUCGAAGACUUGUCAGCCAAUUUUUGUACCCUUUAAGUUCAUGCGACCAAAUAGAAACCCUUCAAAGUUUCCAUGGAUUUGCAAAGCUUCUAAAUGAUAUGGGAAGAAGGCAAUGUUUUCUACAGAAAA
rnacentral:lncRNA from 1 species